UACGCAGGGUGCAAGCGUUGUCCGGAAUUAUUGGGCGUAAAGAGCGCGUAGGCGGUUUGUCAAGUCUGCUGUGAAAUCCCGAGGCUCAACCUCGGGCCUGCAGUGGGUACGGGCAGGCUGGAGUGCGGUAGGGGAGAAUGGAAUUCCUGGUGUAGCGGUGGAAUGCGCAGAUAUCAGGAGGAACACCGAUGGCGAAGGCAGUUCUCUGGGCCGUAACUGACGCUGAGGAGCGAAAGCGUGGGGAGCGAACAGG
rnacentral:rRNA from 1 species